CAUGAUAUUUAUAGGGUAGAAGAUUUUGGGAAUAUCAUUGAUAUAUUAAUACAAGUGUAAAUCUUUGUAUAUAAGUGGUACUCCUUUUAGUACCUUGUGAAUACACACUUUAUACUUUUUAUUUUAAGAACUAUCCAAGCUAUGAAAGAGAGAAAAAAAAUAUAUCCUAUUUACCAAACAUGACUAACUAAUAUAGAGAAAACAAGCACAUGAGAACUAGAUGGCUCUCCCUUUCCUUCAGUUGCACCAAGGUUUACAUUUAAACUGAGGGUUCACAUAUGCUUCUAGGUUUAAUGAAAUGAAAUAAACUUGAUUUCUGAGUUUCAACAACUAUCUGAGCUAUGAAAGAAAGGAAAAAGAUGAUCCAUUUACCAAACAUAACUAACUAAUAUAGAGGAAACCAGAGUAUUAGUCGAUGGCUGGCUCUCUCUUACACCUCUGAUUAAAUCUUCACAAAUUAUGCAAGGAUAAUGCACCUAUCUUGCUGAAUGCAGAAUCUAACUUCUCUUAGGAUAUCCAACAAAUAAAUCAUUUGCUGCCAUUGUUCUCCGUUGUUGAUAGGUUGGAUGCUGUAUUGAAUAAGAAACUAACUACAGAUAAAAAGAAUAUUUGAAAAAAGUCUGCAGCCUCUUAGCUGCCCAUGGAAAAGAAAAUGACAUGAAUAAGAAGACCUCAGACAAUUUCUAGGAGAUGAGCAUUUCAAGUACCUUGCCGUUGACCUGUCUUCUUAUCUUUGGGUAGAAUAAUCUCAAUCACAUUUCCAUAUUCUUGAAACAAAGCACGAAUCUAAGGUGAAUGAGAAGUACCCAAAAGUUAUUCAAAUGACUAAAUGUAAUAAGUAGCACAGACAAACAAGCAAUGCACAGAAGUUACACAAAUUAAUAGUUAUAGGAAGCCAAAGUAAUGCUAACAAUUUCAACAAGAAGAUCAUAAAAAUUGCUGUAGCUUUUAAACUCUAUCCACCUCAUGAAAAAAGAAUGGACCAUAACUUUUCAGUGAUACCAAUGAUAUCAAGUCUAAUAAUAAAUACUAAUCUCCCCUUCCUCCCUCUUGUUCUUUGUGAGAAUCUCUUUAUUAGUAGGUAUUGUCUCAACGACACCGGAUUGGAGAGUGUAUACUUAUGAACAUCAAACACAAAUGAUUCAUAGGCCUGAAGAUAAUUGCUGAGUAGAGUAAUAUAAAAGUAAAGCGGGGAGAAAGGGAAGGAGGGAAUCCUCUCCAUUCUUUCCAUUGUUUGGAUAAAUUAAGAACUCGUGAAGGAAAAGAGAGUUAGAGUACACUAAAUUGUGUUGUACCUUUAAUUGCUUAUCGUGACAUUUUUAUUAAUAACGUACAUUAUUGACAAUUUUUUACCACAAAUACAU
rnacentral:lncRNA from 1 species